rnacentral:tRNA from 1 species
UAAAUUGGAGCACGAAUUGGUGCAUUUAACUGUUAAUUAAAAGGAUUUCACUUAAGAACAAUUUAA